rnacentral:lncRNA from 1 species
GAGCUCUCCUGUGCAGAGUAGGGUUUGAACGGUGUCCCUGGCCACAACCCACUGGUUGCCAAUGGAACCCCCCAGUUUUGACAACCAAAAAUGUUUCCAGACAUGACAGAUGUCCCCUGGGGUAAGGUUGCAAGACAAAAUGCAGGUUUCCCAGAUACAUUUGAAUUUCAGUUAAGCGGCUCAUAACUUCUGUAGUCUAAUUAUGUCCGAAAGAUUGCAUUUUUAUUUGCUAAAUCCAGAAACCCUACACAACCACCUCAGCUGAGAGCCACUGCCCCACGAGUGCGUGAUGCCUGCAGGAGGCUAAGCCACCAGAUGGAAAAGGUGCGGCGGGAACACAGUGGCCUGGCCUGGUCGAGGCAGGGUGCUGUCUGGGGGCAGGCCCAGCAAUGGAAGAGGAAACAGACGUGUAUAAAGUACCUCGAUGUGCCACAUAUCGUGCCGGGGCUUUGAUGUUACUUUCGCUGUGUUUUACAGGUGAGGAAAUGGUGGUUCAGAGAGGUCAUCACACUUACCCAAGCUCACACAGCCUGGAGGUGAACUCACUUCAGUGUGAGGCCAGGUAGUCCACCUCCCAGUGCACCACAUGGUUUAUUACCUGGGGGAGGGGGGAACUUGUUCCAUUAAAACAUUU